rnacentral:rRNA from 1 species
GAUCAUGGCUCAGGAUGAACGCUAGCUACAGGUUUAACACAUGCAAGUCGAGGGGCAGCGGGAUUGAAGCCUGCUUCAAUUGCCGGCGACCGGCGCACGGGUGAGUAACGCGUAUCCAACCUUCCGCAUACUCGGGGAUAGCCUUCUGAAAAGGAGAUUAAUACCCGAUGGUAUCAAGAGACUGCAUGAUAACUUGAUUAAAGAAUUUCGGUAUGCGAUGGGGAUGCGUUCCA